ACUUCUGUUUGUGCUAUGAAGGUCAGAAGCUUAUCAAUGACAAGGUUUAUAUUCGAAACUUUGGGAUCAAAGAUGGUGAUCAGCUUAAAUUUAUUCGGAAUAUGUCCAUUAAUUAUAGACCAGUGAAACAACUAUCUAAAAACAUCAGGGGUGCUUCCAAACAGUGCUCAAUGGGAGAGCAGACCAGUACAAAUGAAGAUGAGGAGGACGUUCUAGUGCCAAAAUUCCAGUGAUGAGUAUAGUAAUAGCAAAAGCAAUUCCAGUGAUGAGCUUUAAAAAUUGAAGAAAAAUUCAAUGUUGAAGACUGGAUGUCUGAAAGAAAACUAUGGAUCAAUUGAAGACUAUGGAUCAAUUCAUAUUGUCAACCUUUCAUGAAAUAUUGUCAACCUUUCAUGAAUUAGUCUUCAUAUUGUCAACCUUUCUGAAAUAUGUAGUUUGGAAUUAUUUGUGGAUGAAAACUUAUAAUAGUUGCUGAUUUUAAUUAAAUAGGCUCAGAAAUGAUUGAUAUAUGUAUUUUGUUGAAUGUUCAUGAUUCAAUUUAUUUGUUGG